UACAGGGGGUGCAAACGUUGCUCGGAAUCAUUGGGCGUAAAGCGCACGUAGGCGGUUCGUUAUGUCGGAUGUGAAAGCCCUUGGCUUAACCGAGGAAGUGCAUCCGAAACUGGCGAGCUAGAGUACUAAAGAGGAUCGCGGAAUUCCCGGUGUAGAGGUGAAAUUCGUAGAUAUCGGGAGGAACACCGGUGGCGAAGGAGGCGAUCUGGGUAGAUACUGACGCUGAGGUGCGAAAGCGUGGGGAGCAAACAGG
rnacentral:rRNA from 1 species